CAGCAGCCGCCACGGGAAUACAGAGGGUGCGAGCGUUAAUCGGAUUUACUGGGCGUAAAGCGUGCGUAGGCGGCUUUUUAAGUCGGAUGUGAAAUCCCUGAGCUUAACUUAGGAAUUGCAUUCGAUACUGGGAAGCUAGAGUAUGGGAGAGGAUGGUAGAAUUCCAGGUGUAGCGGUGAAAUGCGUAGAGAUCUGGAGGAAUACCGAUGGCGAAGGCAGCCAUCUGGCCUAAUACUGACGCUGAGGUACGAAAGCAUGGGGAGCAAACAGGAUUAGAUACCCCAGUAGUCCCUGUCUCUUAUAA
rnacentral:rRNA from 1 species